CCUACGGGAGGCAGCAGUGGGGAAUAUUGGACAAUGGGGGAAACCCUGAUCCAGCGACGCCGCGUGAGUGAAGAAGUAUUUCGGUACGUAAAGCUCUAUCAGCAGGAAAGAAAAUGACGGUACCUGACUAAGAAGCCCCGGCUAACUACGUGCCAGCAGCCGCGGUAAUACGUAGGGGGCAAGCGUUAUCCGGAUUUACUGGGUGUAAAGGGAGCGUAGACGGCAGCGCAAGUCUGGAGUGAAAUGCCGGGGCUCAACCCCGGGACUGCUCUGGAAACUGUGAAGCUGGAGUGCAGGUGAGGUAAGCGGAAUUCCUGGUGUAGCGGUGAAAUGCGGAGAUAUCAGGAGGAACACCGGCGGCGAAGGCGGCUUACUGGACUGUAACUGACGUUGAGGCUCGAAGGCGUGGGGAGCAAACAGGAUUAGAUACCCGGGUAGUC
rnacentral:rRNA from 1 species